GGGUCGUUAGCUCAGUUGGUAGAGCAGUUGACUUUUAAUCAAUUGGUCGCAGGUUCGAAUCCUGCACGCUCA
rnacentral:tRNA from 1 species